rnacentral:rRNA from 1 species
CACGCCGUAAACGAUGAAUACUAGGUGUAGGGGUUGUCAUGACCUCUGUGCCGCCGCUAACGCAUUAAGUAUUCCGCCUGGGGAGUACGGUCGCAAGAUUAAAACUCAAAGGAAUUGACGGGGGCCCGCACAAGCAGUGGAGUAUGUGGUUUAAUUCGAAGCAACGCGAAGAACCUUACCAGGGCUUGACAUCCUCGGACGACACUAGAGAUAGUGUUUUCUCUUCGGAGACUGAGAGACAGGUGG